AAAUAAGAUAGGAAGUUUUACGUGGAAAAAUCCCUGCUUAAGGGGAUAAAAAACCACAACCUACACUGGUAGAAUUUUAAUUUCACAAUGAACAACUUUUAGAUUACAACCUAUGCUAUCGAGAAAUUAAACUCUUAAUCCCUCACUAACUCGUAAUACACCUAUUACAAGCCAUUUGCAAUACACGCAUUACAAAGACUUCAACUCAGGUCUAACUCUAGUCACGACACAAACACACAUGGUAUAUGGUUUUACAAAGGGGUUUCUAAGUAACGCUUCUAGCUAAGCAGUUUAGGAAUUACAAUGAAGAACAAUUACAAAGUUACAACUCAACAAAGGACAAUAAAAUACCAGAUUUAGGAACUAGUCCGUAGUAGCAUUUUACUUUGUUCUUGAGGCUCUUGAGAGUUAGAUUCACUAUCUCUGAAGGCUUGAAUGCUUGAAGUGAAUUCUCAAGUGUUCAAGUGAUGUUUUGUUAUAAUACUCUUGUUAAUACACUUUUGAUGACAUCACUUGAAUGAUGUAAGCACUUGGUUGGUCAAAAGGACAAGUGACUCCAAAACUGCUGCACUAUCUGCACCGUUUCUGUGGCUGUCACUUUCCAGGUGUGCACAGUUGACUUUCGUACUGUUGUGAGGGAAAUACAAGGGAUCACAUUAUCGAUACUUGCAGCAAUUCACAUUAGCUAGAGUCAUGGCUGGAAUCGGUUCAUUAGCAAUGUAAACCAAGUGUGUCAGGUUCCCCAUCUGGUUCUUGACAAUAAUUUUGUUAGAUCAUCAAAAUAUAAGGCAAAGUCAUUGAAAACCCAUCACUUACCUAAAGGAAAAAGGAUCAAUUCCCACUUAUUACUUCCUUCAUAAAAAAUUCUAGAUCCGUCUCUAACUUCGUGCAUAUCAUAAAUGCAGAGUUUAUUGAAUACUGUUGUGAUCAAAAAAGUUGAGUCACUUGUUUGAUCUUCUUCUGUUACACAAAACAUAAAUGGGAUUGAUAAAAGUGAUACAAACGUAGUUCUGCUAAUUACAUGUGCAUAUACUAGCACAAUUAUACUACUUGUAGGAGUGCUUAGCAAUUGAUAAAUCUGUAGAUCUGAUAUAUUUAGACUUUAAAACGUUGUUCAAUUAGGCAAUAUGAUACGAUGAUAAUGAUAACCAUCAGUAUAUGGCUGAUAAUGCCACCAACAAGUCCUGCAUAGUACACCAUUUGAGCAAUCUGCAUCAGAACUGCAUUCUCUGUAACAAGCCCACUUAAAAAGUCAUUCGGAAUUAAUCUCAUUUUUGUCAUUGAUAUAGAUAGCGGCAAGUUUCCAUCGCUUUCAUCUUUGAGGUUCGAGUCAAAUCAACUGUAUAAUAUUUUGAUAUAACCAACGUCAAGUUCAAUUAUCAUAUGUACAUGUCUAUGUAAUACUCUUUUGUAACAAACUCAAUGUAAUAUAAGUGAGAUGUGGGUUUUUGUAAGCAGUGGCUGGAGGAAGAAUUUCCAUAAACCCGAAAUAUAAGUGAAAUAUAUGUACAUAAAUCCAAAAUAUACGUACGGCCCCCUAAAUCCGCCCCUGCUGAGCAGAAUAGCAUUUACGUAGGGCUUACCCCUACCAUGUCAAGGUAGAGUGGCUGUUUCAGGUAGACUCUCGACUCAGAAUAUGAAAAAAGAAAUAACGACAACAAACAUUAAUUACAACAAGAUACUAGAGAAGCAAACUAGAUUUUGUCUUAUAUAUAUGUAUGGUAUAAUUUUUCGGCCGUAGGGGGUUCUGGCCUCCUAAAUCUGUCCUUGCUAAGGAGGAUAAUAUGAAAGCAGGGCUUACCCAUACCACGGUGAAGGUAGAGAGGCUGUUUUAGAUAGACUCUUGGCUUAAAGAAAAAUGAAAAAAAAGUAGUGACAACAAAUAUUAACAACAAUAAGAUACUACGAUAACCGAAAAAAAAAGAAACAACACUAAUAAAAAUCAAAGAAUAAGAUCUUUUCCAACAAGAACAAAAGAAAAGAGAGGAAAAAGAGUAAAAGGCGGAGAAGAGUAAGUCAUUACCGGCAGUUGUUGUAAGGAGAAUGGAGAAGAAG
rnacentral:lncRNA from 1 species